GAUGAACGCUGGCGGCGUGCUUAACACAUGCAAGUCGAACGGAAAGGCUCCUGCUUGCAGGGGUACUCGAGUGGCGAACGGGUGAGUAACACGUGGGUAACCUGCCCUGCACUUCGGGAUAAGCCUGGGAAACUGGGGCUAAUACCGGAUAGGACCACCUGUUGGAUGGUGUGGUGGAAAGUUUUUCGGUGGGGGAUGAACUCGCGGCCUAUCAGCUUGUUGGUGGGGUAGUGGCGUACCAAGGCGUCGACGGGUAGCCGGCCUGAGAGGGUGACCGGCCACAUUGGGACUGAGAUACGGCCCAGACUCCUACGGGAGGCAGCAGUGGGGAAUAUUGCACAAUGGGCGGAAGCCUGAUGCAGCGACGCCGCGUGGGGGAUGACGGCCUUCGGGUUGUAAACUCCUUUCGCCAGGGACGAAGCGCGAGUGACGGUACCUGGAGAAGAAGCACCGGCUAACUACGUG
rnacentral:rRNA from 1 species